AUUGAACGCUAGCGGCAUGCCUUACACAUGCAAGUCGAACGAGUGGCGGACGGGUGAGUAAUAUAUCGGAACCUGCCUGGUCGAGGGGGAUAACUACUCGAAACAGUGGCUAAUACCGCAUACCCUCGGAUGUGCCCAUAUCGGAUUAGCUAGUUGGUGGGGUAAAGGCUCACCAAGGCGACGAUCCCUAGCUGGUCUGAGAGGAUGACCAGCCACACUGUAACUGAGACACGGCCCAGACUCCUACGGGAGGCAGCAGUGGGGAAUUUUGGACAAGUGGGGAAACCCUGAUACAGCCAUCCCGCGUGUAUGAGGAAGGCCUUCGGGUUGUAAAGUACUUUUAGCAGGGAAGCGGUACCCGCAGAAGAAGCACCGGCUAACUACGUGCCAGCAGCCGCGGUAAUUC
rnacentral:rRNA from 1 species